GUACCCUACCUUUAUACUUAAAUACAGAUCAAAUUUCAACUGGCGUAUUGAUUUAAAAUUCAUAUAUGGGUAAUCAAUAUUUCAGGGGAAGAGGAAGUUUAAAACUUGCUGACUUCUAAGAAGAAACAAAGUGAAUUGGAGAAACUUUGUUAGAAAAGUGAUUUAUCUAACUGCUGUUUAGAGACCAGUGAACCAAAUGGGACUUUAACUGAAAUGUUUAUGACGUGAAGUAAUUUAGGUCAAAACGGUGACUGGAGGAGUGACAGAUACAGACAUGCUUUCUUAUGAAACUUCUGAUUUACUGUGCUCAUUGUGCAAAACGAGAAACAAAACUACAGAAGCUGCCAAGUUUUGUGUGGAUUGUCGGGAUUAUUAUUGUUCAACUUGUGUCGAGUUUCAUGAUGACGUUCCUGCUUUAUCCCGGCACAAGAUUCUCGACAGUAGUCAGUUCCAACCAGGGCCUGGCCAGGUGCUACAAAUGGUUCCUACAGAACGCUGUGACAAGCACAGCCACAAACAUGUAGACAUGUAUUGUCUGAAUCAUGAUGAUGUUGGCUGUUCUGCAUGCAUGGCGGUAGAUCACAGAUUGUAUCAGGAUAUAUUCUACAUACCUGAUUUUAUCCAAAAUAAUGCUGACACAUCAGAUCCUCAAGCAAUUUAUCAAGAACUAGAUUCAACUACAGAUGUUCUGGAAGAUCAGCACAAAGAAGUCCAACUUGAAAAAGAAAGACUUCAGAAGAGUAAAGAUCAAAGUUUAAAGAAGAUGAAAGAAUUCAGAGUAGAAAUCAAUCAGCAUCUGGAUCAGCUAGAGCAAAAGUCUACGGCAGAUAUAGAGGGCAAAUACAAACCCAAGCUGGACAAACUUGAUGAACAAAUGGAUGCAAUUCAGAAAAAAAAGGUGAAAGUAUCAUCAGCUAAAGAUGAUUUAUCAACUGCCGGUGAGAAUGUAUCUCAAGUGUUUGUUAGCACUAAGAAAGGAAAAAUUGCUGCUGAUGAUGCACUGAAAUAUGUUGAUGAAAUAAAAGGGGACAUAAAGGGAAAAAACGAAGAGUUUAUACCUGAACGAACGCUGACAUCACUGUUGAAAGAACUUAAUCUUCUUGGUCAGUUAACUGAGACAGACACUGGAUGUUAUCAGCCAAAGCAAAAGGUAUCAGUAGUUACAAGUGGAGAAAACAGCAGUAAGAAACAAACAGGCAAAGCUUCACAAAAUGACUGCAAAACUUUAAUAAAGGCGAUAGAAAAGAAGAAUUAUAACAUUAGAAUACCAUCAGACAAAGAGGAGUGUAAUAUCUACAGUGUCUGUGACCUUGAUGAUGGAACGAUAAUACUAGCUGACUAUGGCAACAAGAAACUGAAGCGUGUGGACAGUUUAACAUACACUGUCACUAACUACUGCAAUGUAUCUGGUCAGCUAUACCAAGUAUGUAAGAUCAGUAACCAGGAAGUUGCUGUCAGUUGUGGUCUUUAUAAAUACAUUCAGUUUGUGUCACUUGGAAGUAAAAUGGUACCAACCAAACAGAUAAAAACUGACCACAGGUGUUAUGGUCUAGCUUAUGCUGCUGGACAUUUGUGUAUUUCAGACGAUACAUCAGUAUACAUAUAUACUGUAUCAGGCAGCAAGCUGCAGCGGUUCAACCCAUUUCAGUCUGGACAGAGACUGUUCUCUGACACCUACAGUCUAGCUGUCAGUAAUGAUGGUUCCAAGAUUUAUGUUGCUGACUUGGACUUUGGACUGAUCUCUUUUGACAGAAAUGGAAAGGUUCUUGGAAAAUUCAAUGGACCAGAGCUGGGACAAGCAAGUGAUGUUUGUACAACAAAUAAUGGAAGUGUGCUUGGGUGUGGGUAUAGAUCUAAGAAUGUUUUACAGUUUACUCCAGACUGUAAGAAGAUAGGGGAAGUAUUGAAAUGUGAUGCUGCAUGCAGUUCUGUCUGCUAUGAUCCUAAACAGAGCAAAAUUAUUGUUGGUUGUUGUAAUAACAACAUUGAUGUGUACAAGGUUGUUGAGUUAGAGAUAAACAUCUGAAACAAAAUGAUCCAUUUAUCUACAUUAGACAUUAACCAACCCGCUUCAUAUUAACCAGUAAAGACAGGAACUGUUCUCCAAUACCUUCAGUCUAGACCAGAGUUAUAUAACAUGCAGAGGAAUGUUUGUAUAAAAAAUAAUGGAGGUGUGCUUGUGUGUGGGUAUGGAUCUAAGAAUGUUUUACCGUUUACACCAGACUGUGAGAACAUAGGCAAAGUAUUGAAGUGUGAUGCUGCAUGCAGUUCUGUCUGCUAUGACACAAGACAGUGCAAAAUUAUUGUUGGUUGUAUAAUAACAACAUUGGUGUGUGUAGGAGGUUGUUUAGCUAGAGAUGAACACCUCAAUCAAAAUUAUCCACUUAACAUUAUAAAACAAUAUUUGGGAAAUAAUACAUAUAUAGUGACUAUAUGAUAUCAUACAUUUUGUAUCUGAUGUUUAAAUGCACCUUACAUUUCAAAUAAUGUUAUAGAUCUUGUAGUACAUAGUUACUUAAUAUAUUUUUCAUUGCUAUGUUUAUUUUCAUUUCCAUGCCAAUUCUACCAUAUUUAAAUCAAGUCUUAACUUGGCUUGUACAAUCUUUACACCUUGUGAUAUAACUAAUUGAUACUACUAUCCCUUAAACUAAUUGAGACAAUUUAAUAUUUGAUGUAACAUUUAUUACAAACAACAUAGUCUGAAUAAAAUAAACUAAUUUUGACUUGUACCAUCUGUCAACUCUGUGUAGUGACUGGACAAAACACUUUUGUCAUAUCAGACACAUUAAAUUGUCACCUACACUCAAAUUACUUUUCAAAAUUAGAUACAUUGUCAUUUUAUAUGUUUUCUAUGUAUUUUUUAUGAUAUUUGGGCAAAGCAGGCUAGCUUAAACUGGACUAUGUUAGGUAAUAUUGUUGAAAUCAUUUGUAAAAAGUGACACAUAAAAAUAAUAUUGUCAAAACAGUUCUUGUAGGACCUAAGUCUACUCUGUAAAACAGUUUUUCAUUGGCUAAAAACUUAAGUCCAAAAUUGUCUUAAUAAAUUUAAUUGGCAAAUGAAAUAAGUCCGCCUACCCCUUGAUUGGCACCUCGGAAACUACAAAAUGGGAGAUUUUAAGUGGAAGUCACAUCAACCUUCGUGACAGAAAUAAGGAGUGUUGCACUUAUUAGCACUUAUUAUCUUGUCAUUAUUAUUACAGGUAUGUGCAUUCUAUGUUAUUCUCUAUUUUUACAAGUUUUCAUAUUUUUCUUGUUAAGGACUUCAGCCUUAAACACAUUGCUUAUAUUUUACUACUUUGGCAUCUUUUAUGAAUACCUUAAGGGAAACUUUUAUUCUAUACUGUUGUUUAUUUAUAUUUUAAGAAGUAAAAUUCUUUGUCAUAAAAUAAUGAUGAAAACUCUUUUCUUGGCAUUAGAAUGAAUAUUCUUGCAUACCAGACGGGGAUUUCUGGUAUUUUUAUCGGUGCUGGAAAAAUCCAUCUUACACCCCGGGGUGUAAGAUGACUCUCGUGUUGUAAAUGACGUAUUACAAACUACAUAUAUAUGUAGCAAUUUAUAUUUUAUUCAUUCUUAUGCCAAGAAAACAGUUACCCUAGAGGCCGGAAAUUCCCAUCUGCACCUAUCACAGGUGAAAGAAUCUUAUAGUAGCAUGCUAUUUUGUUAUACUUGUACAUUCUGAUGUGUGUAUGUUCAUGAGUGUUUAAUUCUUUAUAUUACAGUUUUCUUUCGUAUUGAUUUAGUUCAACUUUAUUUUCAUUUCAUGAAUUUUAGUAAAAUAGAUUUUGGCAUUACCAUAUUUUAGUUUUACAUCCAUGAGAUCAAAUAACUGCAUUGGUAAAUCUUGGAAUUAUAUUCCUAGUACCUCUUGCUUUACUAAGUGAGUGUUCAUGUUUGAAUGUUUAGACUUUGCUUUUUCCCCACAGCAAACAUUUCUGAGUAGAGAUUCUUCUAUAUAAAUUCUGUAAAAUUAAGUAGAAUAUUGUUUGGUAUAAAUCCUUAUUAGAAUAUUUUAAGUAAUGCCAUGAUCUAGAUUAUUUUAUUGUUAACAUUAUGUUUAUUAUAUGCUACAUAUGAUAUCGGUAUGUAAUAUAUAUUUGUUCCACAAUAACCUUCGUGAAAGAAAUAAAGAGUAUUGCACUU
rnacentral:misc_RNA from 1 species